GCCAAUUUGCGGGUGCUAUACAUGCAAGUCGAGCGGACAGAUGGGAGCUUGCUCCCUGAUGUUAGCGGCGGACGGGUGAGUAACACGUGGGUAACCUGCCUGUAAGACUGGGAUAACUCCGGGAAACCGGGGCUAAUACCGGAUGGUUGUCUGAACCGCAUGGUUCAGACAUAAAAGGUGGCUUCGGCUACCACUUACAGAUGGACCCGCGGCGCAUUAGCUAGUUGGUGAGGUAACGGCUCACCAAGGCGACGAUGCGUAGCCGACCUGAGAGGGUGAUCGGCCACACUGGGACUGAGACACGGCCCAGACUCCUACGGGAGGCAGCAGUAGGGAAUCUUCCGCAAUGGACGAAAGUCUGACGGAGCAACGCCGCGUGAGUGAUGAAGGUUUUCGGAUCGUAAAGCUCUGUUGUUAGGGAAGAACAAGUGCCGUUCAAAUAGGGCGGCACCUUGACGGUACCUAACCAGAAAGCCACGGCUAACUACGUGCCAGCAGCCGCGGUAAUACGUAGGUGGCAAGCGUUGUCCGGAAUUAUUGGGCGUAAAGGGCUCGCAGGCGGUUUCUUAAGUCUGAUGUGAAAGCCCCCGGCUCAACCGGGGAGGGUCAUUGGAAACUGGGGAACUUGAGUGCAGAAGAGGAGAGUGGAAUUCCACGUGUAGCGGUGAAAUGCGUAGAGAUGUGGAGGAACACCAGUGGCGAAGGCGACUCUCUGGUCUGUAACUGACGCUGAGGAGCGAAAGCGUGGGGAGCGAACAGGAUUAGAUACCCUGGUAGUCCACGCCGUAAACGAUGAGUGC
rnacentral:rRNA from 1 species